GUGAGGAAUAUUGGUCAAUGGGCGAGAGCCUGAACCAGCCAAGUCGCGUGAAGGAAGAAGGAUCUAUGGUUCGUAAACUUCUUUUGCAGGGGAAUAAAGUGCAGGACGUGUCCUGUUUUGUAUGUACCCUGAGAAUAAGGAUCGGCUAACUCCGUGCCAGCAGCCGCGGUAAUACGGAGGAUCCGAGCGUUAUCCGGAUUUAUUGGGUUUAAAGGGUGCGUAGGUGGUUUGAUAAGUCAGCGGUGAAAGUUUGCAGCUUAACUGUAAAAAUGCCGUUGAAACUGUCGGACUUGAGUGUAAAUGAGGUAGGCGGAAUGCGUGGUGUAGCGGUGAAAUGCUUAGAUAUAACACAGAACACCAAUUGCGAAGGCAGCUUACUGGGAUACAACUGACGCUGAGGCACGAAAGCGUGGGGAUCAAACAGGAUUAGAUACCCGUGUAGUCC
rnacentral:rRNA from 1 species